AAGGGAAAGUGACUUAUCACUGGGCCCAGCACACAGGUGAUGUAAUUCUUCUGCCUGGUUUUUGUACCCAGGAGCCAUUGUAAUCUAUCUCUGGGCCCAUCAUUUAAAUGAUGUGACUGUCAUUUUCUUCCUGAGCCCUAUUCACAGGGAAAAUAAUGACACAUCUGUGGGGUUCUCACCGAAAUGAUGUGACUCUCCUGCCUGGGCUCACCUCUCAAGGGAAUUGUGACAUAUUACUGGGCCAGCCACCUAGGUGAUGUGGCUCUGACAAAGGAGAAAUUGUGAUGUACCACUGUUCCACACCUAAGAGAUUUGACUCUCAUCUUUUCAUGAGCCCUGCAUUUAUUGUGUAUUGUGACAUAUGGCUUGAUCCAACACCUUGGUGAUGUGACUCUCUACUUCUUCCUGAGCUAUGCCAAAAAAGAAGAUUGUGACAUAUCACUGGAUCCAGUACCUAGAUGAUGUAAAUCUUUUCUUUUGCUGAGCCAUGCAUAUUUUUGGUAUUGUGACAUGUCGCUGGACCCAACACCUACAGGAUUGGAUCAGAGGCUACUGAAUAAGCCCUGCCCAUAGGCGGCCUUGUGACAUAUGUCUGCAUCUAUCGCCUAAGUGAUGUGACUCUUUUUCUGCCUGCAGCCUGCACAUAGAGAAGAUUGUGACAUAUAGCUCUGCCCAGUAACCAGGUGAUGUGUCUUUUCUGGCAGGUCUUUUCCCACAGGGAGCAUUGUGAAACAUCACUGGGCUCAGCCACCAGGUUAUGUGACUCUUCUGCCUGUGCCCUGCUUCCAGAAAAUAUUGUGACAUUCCUCAUACAGCAUCCAGGUGAUGUGACUCUUCUGCUCAUUUUCUACUUACAGGAGACAUGCCCAAAAAAGGGAUUGUGGCAUAUCUCUGAGCCCAGCACCCAAAUGUUGUGACUCUCCUGCCUGAGCUGUGCCUAGAGAAAAUAUUAUAAUAUGUCACCGGACCCUGCAUGCAAGUGAUCCAAUUCUCCAGUCUGGGCCUUGCCCAUAGAGGAGAUUGAGACAUAUUCCAGGUGAAGAAUUCAGGUGGAUGGUGACUCUAAGACCAGGAUUCAACACACCUAGAAGGCUUUGACUCUGAUACCAGUCACAGAAGGCUCUGUGACUCUUCUAUUUUCUCUAGGUCAUGCAAAUGGAGGCGGAUUUUGACAUAUCAUAAAGCCAACAUAAUACACAGUCUGCAGGUGGAAUUGGGACUCUCAUGCAUGGAUCCAGUUCAUCAUUGAUACUGUGACUCAUGUACUUGGAUGCAACUCACAGGAGGUGUUGACGCUUUUUACCUGAAGCUGGGACAUGUGUGGAAUUGUGAAUCCUAGCCCUAGAUCUUCCCACAGGUAUGAUUGUGACAUAUACUUUUGCCUAGCA
rnacentral:lncRNA from 1 species